rnacentral:lncRNA from 1 species
CAUGAUGCCAAAGGAUGUGAGCAUAUACCCUUUCUCCUAACUGGCAAAUCUGCAAAAGGAGAUAAUGAAACUCACACUGGGAAAUGAGAAGAGAAAAGACAGAAAUAGGCAAAAUUGGAGGCCACAGAUUCAGUAUCCCUAGCUUUCCAGUGAUUCCUUCCUAUUCUAUGAGCUUUGUAUCAACAGCGUUCCAACAUACCCCACAUUUUACUAAAGUAAGUUCUAAUUUGGUGUUUGAUUUUUUACAAAUGAGAGUGUUCUGCGUAAUUCAGGCCCUUUAGCAAGGAUAGACCAAACAAGUAACUACUGCAUGCAAGAUAAAAAUCUCUGGGACAAAAGCCCUUAAUAUCCUGGCACCAGCUAAGAAAGUCAGCCACAAAAGAAAGCAGGAAAGAAGCUUAAAGACCACCUUGUCAAAUUCCUCGCCACCCCGUCUUUUUUUACUAGAAAGCACACAAGGCUCAGAGACGGCCAUAAGCGACAAAGCUACUAAAAGGCAGAACAAUAUUCAAUGGUGAUGAGCCAUUUAGGUAAUUUUUUCUUCUCUAUGUAUAUGGUGAGACAGGACUCUCCAACUGCUGAGAGAAUCACAGAAGGACAGUAUCUCCAUUCUGUCAAAAUGGACUACGAACUUAGCCAUUAAAAUACAUACCUCAGCAUAUGACAAAGGAGAACACUUAAGUGGUUGGGGAAAGAGAAUAAGUUGUAUACAAGACUACAGCUGCAUGAAGAUAUUCAGAAAUACGGAGAGAACUCAAAGUCAUCAAAAACAACUUAAGUAGACUACAGG